rnacentral:lncRNA from 1 species
CUCGGGGAGCGGACGGAGGGUCGACAGAAGCGGCCGAGGGGCCGCGCAGCCCGGAGUCGGUCCGGUGCCCGGUGCCGGAGUCGGCGCCCGCCGGCGGCCGUGGGAGGGUCGGUUCUUUGUGCGCCCCGCGGGGUUUGAGCCGCACGGCAAUUGGCAAAGCUCGUUCUUCCCGGAAGGGCACCCGCUCCUCAAAGUGCGGCCAAGCGCAAAGCUGCCCGGCCGAGAGAGACUUAAACUCCGCACCGCUCCGAGCAUCUCCCAGCCCCGACGGCAGCCGCGCAGCACCGAGCCCGCACCUCCGAACGAUUUUUCUUUUCCCUUUCCCAUCGGGCCCGGAGCGGCAGCAGAGCCCCUCACAGUGCAUUGCCCAAAUACACCAGAAACGAAUCGCUCUCAGGCAGAGGGGCGGCGGAGGGCCGCGUUGUCCAGGCCCCAUCCCGGAGUCCGAGUGGCCGCCACCGCGCCCCGCUGCUGCCCGCGGCUCUUUCCCACGCGUGGGUCGGGCCGGGGGCAGCAGCCCCGGGUCACAGUCCCGUGGCCGAGGGUGGCCGGGCGCUGCCCUCCCGCAGCCCCGCGCAAACCCCGCCGCAACAAAGAGCCAUAAACCCCCACCCCCAGUGCGGCUCGGGCCAACUCCUGGGACUGGAGGAGGGUGAGGAUGGCCACGGGCUGAGGCCGCCUCAGCAGAGCGGUGAGAGGGCUCGGCCUCGGCAUCCGCCAGCAGAAACCGAGGGCGAGGAGAAGGGGCAGCCCGGCUGCGGCCUCUCUCCCCGUCGGGGCUCUGCGGAGCCGCCGUGAGCAGCGCAGAGCAGUGCCCGGCUCGGGGAGCUGCCGGCCGGGCCGUGCCCUCCUUCACGAGCCUCGGGACACCGAUUCAGCCUCUACUCGAGCGAACGAGGUGAGGAACGAGUGCUUUCCUUGCCGACAUCUGUCAGAACGGCUGUGGGCGAGCCCAGUUCGCUGCACACACCCUGCCAUCCACCUGCAGACAGCGUGCUCUACCACCACCGCUCCGUGGGCUUUUCCAUCUUCUCUUUCCCUCAGAACAAGCAACCACACGGGCAGGCCUCCCGUCGGCAGCACACGCCGAGCUGGGCACGGAGCAGCCCGGCGGGCACCAAGGCGGCCACCCCGCGUCCAUCCCCUCGGGCUCGGGCCUGACCCGCUCCCGGGACCGGCCGAGCCCCUGCCCGCCCCACACGUGAGCGCUGGGAAAGACGCACGGCUCCCUCCGAGCCCCCCGAAGCGUCCUGCAGAGGGCAGAGGCUGCCCGCAUUCCGCAGCCGACCCGGCGGGAUAUUGACCAAGGACUUCAAAUCCAUACCCGGCUUAAACAUUUUACCCGUCAGCACGUCUGCGGUCACAAAACACUUCUUCUUUCUGUCACUUCGCUUCGAAACUAUUGAUAAGAUCAUUUAGCUGAAUCUGUUCGGGAUGAGUGUAAUAUUGACUAGGAGUUAGAAAAGAUGAUUAAAUCUAAUAAGCCGAGAAACUCUCGGGGAGGGGGAAGAGAGAGCAGGACGUUGCCCUACGAAGCCGAGCAGAGCCCCAAAGGCCGUAGCACCUCCGCCACACGCCGCAGCCGGCACCCGAUACACGGCCCCGAUACACGGCACCCGGCCCCGGUACUCGGUACCCGGUCCCGGAUCACGCAGCCGCCCCUCUCAGGCCCCGCAGCCCGGCCUUAACGGCGCUCCCCACGGAGAAGCUCCGCCUUUCCCUUCUUUUCUCCCUUUCUUCCUCUUUUCUCCCUUUCUUUCCUCUUUCUUUUUGGCACGGGGGAGGAGAGCCGGCUGUCGCGUUCUAGGAAGGCCGCUCAGAGCAGAGUCCUCUCUCCUCGGCCCGGCCCUCCUCCUCCUCCAACACCGCAGCGCAAACGGAGCGGAGCAUCAGAGCCGGGGAGGGACGGCACCGCUCCGCACAGCAUCACCGCUCGGCCCGCUCCGCUGCGGGGAACGCAGCCCCCGAGCUCCGCUCCCGCAUCACGAGCCUUUGGAGCGGGGCAGCGCUCGGUGCGGACGCGGAACCGCUUCCCCUAUUCCGUGCGAUAUAAAGGGCUGGAGGUGAUUGCACUGAGCUCACGGCGCUGCGGUGCUCUCCCCUCCCGACUUCAGAGCUACGGCAAUCUGUGCUGUCUUUCGAAAUGAAACAAAAGGGAUUUCAAUAAGUCGAACAAACUAUGAAGGUAUUGUGCAUUUCUGUUUUAUGUAGAUAAUAAAAUAUUACUUUAACAUAAAUAUAUAAGGAUC